rnacentral:piRNA from 1 species
UCCUUACCUAGUUGGCCAUUUCUUGC